UGGGGAAUAUUGGACAAUGGGCGCAAGCCUGAUCCAGCCAUGCCGCGUGAGUGAUGAAGGCCCUAGGGUUGUAAAGCUCUUUCACCGGUGAAGAUAAUGACGGUAACCGGAGAAGAAGCCCCGGCUAACUUCGUGCCAGCAGCCGCGGUAAUACGAAGGGGGCUAUCGUUGUUCGGAUUUACUGGGCGUAAAGCGCACGUAGGCGGACUAUUAAGUCAGGGGUGAAAUCCCGGGGCUCAACCCCGGAACUGCCUUUGAUACUGGUAGUCUUGAGUUCGAGAGAGGUGAGUGGAAUUCCGAGUGUAGAGGUGAAAUUCGUAGAUAUUCGGAGGAACACCAGUGGCGAAGGCGGCUCACUGGCUCGAUACUGACGCUGAGGUGCGAAAGCGUGGGGAGCAAACAGG
rnacentral:rRNA from 1 species